rnacentral:rRNA from 1 species
CGGACGGGUGAGUAAUGUCUGGGAAACUGCCUGAUGGAGGGGGACAACUACUGGAAACGGUAGCUAAUACCGCAUAACGUCGCAAGACCAAAGAGGGGGACCUUCGGGCCUCUUGCCAUCGGAUGUGCCCAGAUGGGAUUAGCUAGUAGGUGGGGUAACGGCUCACCUAGGCGACGAUCCCUAGCUGGUCUGAGAGGAUGACCAGCCACACUGGAACUGAGACACGGUCCAG